rnacentral:rRNA from 1 species
AUUGAACGCUGGCGGCAGGCUUAACACAUGCAAGUCGAGCGGGCGAGGUUGCUUCGGUAACUGAGCUAGCGGCGGACGGGUGAGUAAUGCUUAGGAAUCUGCCUAUUAGUGGGGGACAACAUUCCGAAAGGAAUGCUAAUACCGCAUACGCCCUACGGGGGAAAGCAGGGGAUCUUCGGACCUUGCGCUAAUAGAUGAGCCUAAGUCAGAUUAGCUAGUUGGUGGGGUAAAGGCCCACCAAGGCGACGAUCUGUAGCGGGUCUGAGAGGAUGAUCCGCCACACUGGGACUGAGACACGGCCCAGACUCCUACGGGAGGCAGCAGUGGGGAAUAUUGGACAAUGGGCGAAAGCCUGAUCCAGCCAUGCCGCGUGUGUGAAGAAGGCCUUUUGGUUGUAAAGCACUUUAAGCGAGGAGGAGGCUACUUGGAUUAAUACUCUAGGAUAGUGGACGUUACUCGCAGAAUAAGCACCUGCUAACUCUGUGCCAGCAGCCGCCGUAACAC